AGUGAACGCUGGCGGUAGGCCUAACACAUGCAAGUCGAACGGCAGCACAGUAAGAGCUUGCUCUUACGGGUGGCGAGUGGCGGACGGGUGAGGAAUACAUCGGAAUCUACUUUUUCGUGGGGGAUAACGUAGGGAAACUUACGCUAAUACCGCAUGCGACCUACGGGUGAAAGCAGGGGAUCUUCGGACCUUGCGCGAUUGAAUGAGCCGAUGUCGGAUUAGCUAGUUGGCGGGGUAAAGGCCCACCAAGGCGACGAUCCGUAGCUGGUCUGAGAGGAUGAUCAGCCACACUGGAACUGAGACACGGUCCAGACUCCUACGGGAGGCAGCAGUGGGGAAUAUUGGACAAUGGGCGCAAGCCUGAUCCAGCCAUACCGCGUGGGUGAAGAAGGCCUUCGGGUUGUAAAGCCCUUUUGUUGGGAAGGAAAAGCAGCAGGUUAAUACCCCGCUGUUCUGACGGUACCCAAAGAAUAAGCACCGGCUAACUUCGUG
rnacentral:rRNA from 1 species